CGAUUCGUGUUGCGUUGCGAUAAACUGAAGAAAAGACUACGUGGUGUUGGGUCUUCUUCCACCUUAUAGAGAGAUAAAAGAAUCUGUAACCAAGGAAGGGCCAAGAGCAAAUUGACAGCUCCCAUUCCUCAACAAAUGGCGUCACGAACAGGAUCUCUCUGGAAAAAGACCGACACCGGUUUCAGGACCUUCAGACUCAGGCAGUAACCAAGGAGCGCUCCACUAUAACCAGGUAAGACACACCUGUUCCUGUUAUUACGGGCAAAGUGUCAAGAUUCGGCUUAUGUCCAAUAAGGACCGAUCAAAUCAAACUGCUCUGAACCUGAAUGUGUUGAACCAAGUAUAGUGAUUGGGUCUUGUAGGUGGCAAAUAACAAAUUGAUAAUGAGUUUGUAGGCAAUUAAAAAAAAAUAGUGGUUAAUUGCUAAGGCAGGUCCAGGUAAUUUUUAUUAUUCUGGAUGCUGAUAAAUUGUAGGACUGACGACUGGAGAUCGCGGUCUGAGUAGACAGCUGAGCAAAGACGAUACUGAGUUCGUAGGUAUUUGAAAAAUUAGUGGUUAAUUGCUGAGGCAGGUCCAGGUAAUUUUUAUUAUUCUGGAUGCUGAUAAAUUGUAGGACUGACGACUGGAGAUCGCGGUCUGAGUAGACAGCUGA